ensembl:Y_RNA Y_RNA Y RNA
GGCUGAUCUGAGUGAAGUGGUGUUUACAACCAAUUGAUCACACUAGUUACAGAUUUCUUUCUUCCUUCUCUACUCUCUCACUGCUUUACUUCACUAGCCUUUU